rnacentral:ncRNA from 1 species
AGGCGUCGGCCAGCCUAAGGGCCUAAUUUCUACGUAAUUUUAUAUUUAGUAUUAUUAGAAUUAGUUUUUAGCUAAGGUAGUUAAAUAAAGGCCUAGGCCCUGGUAAUAAUAUUUAAAAAUCCUUAUUUUGUUUUUAAAAACGUAGAACACAAGGUAGCCAAAUGCCCCGUCAUCUAAUUAGUGACGCGCAUGAAUGGAUUAACGAGAUUCCCACUGUCCCUAUGUACUAUCUAGCGAAACCACAGCCAAGGGAACGGGCUUGGCAGAAUCAGCAGGGAAAGAAGACCCUGUUGAGCUUGACUCUAGUCUGACUCUGUGAAAAGACAUGAGAGGUGUAGAAUAAGUGGGAGUAGCAAUACGUCGGUGAAAUACCACUACUCUUAUUGUUUUUUUACUUAUUCGAUGAAGCGGAAGCGAACCGCAAGGUUCACGUUCUGGAUUUAAGGUCUCUCUUUUGCAGACCGAUCCGUGUCGAAGACACUGUCAGGUUGGGAGUUUGGCUGGGGCGGCACAUCUGUCAUACGAUAACGCAGGUGUCCUAAGGUAAGCUCAAUGAGAACAGAAAUCUCAUGUAGAACAAAAGGGUAAAAGCUCACUUGAUUUUGAUUUUCAGUAUGAAUACAAACUGUGAAAGCAUGGCCUAUCGAUCCUUUAGUCUUUAGGAGUUUUAAGCUAGAGGUGUCAGAGAAGUUACCACAGGGAUGACCUCCGACUUUGCAAGGAGCUUUACCCACCCGCAGACCUCCCAAAU